rnacentral:rRNA from 1 species
UACGGGGGGGGCAAGCGUUGUUCGGAAUCACUGGGCAUAAAGCGCACGUAGGCGGCUAACUAAGUCAGGUGUGAAAUCCCCCGGCUCAACCGGGGAACUGCGCCUGAUACUGGUUGGCUUGAGAACGGUAGGGGUGAGUGGAACUCCAGGUGGAGCGGUGAAAUGCGUAGAUAUCUGGAGGAACACCGGUGGCGAAAGCGGCUCACUGGACCGUAACUGACGCUGAGGUGCGAAAGCUAGGGUAGCAAACGGG